CUGUCAAGGCUUGAAUGAAUACUGUGCUUUCACACUGAACUGAAAUAAAACACUGGGCUGUGCGAUCCUAGAAAGUGUCACAUGGCUCAGGCCGCUCCCUGCAAUCCUGCCAGCCCAUCCCCGAGGUGGAGGAGACUGACAUUCUAGCCAACAGCAGCGCUCAGUGCCUGCCCGUCGCUGGUCUGGGGGUGGGGGAGUGCUGGCUCUUUGCAGAACCCUUGCUUUCGCUUCGCGGAUCCCCAGGGUUCUCCGGAGCACCAGUUGGGAACCACUGAGGUAGUCGACUAUUUGCUUAUAUCCCUAGAUGGACCAGCUCUGAGUAGGACGUGAGCACAUCUCCUGUGCCAUCCUCCUGAUCCCGUGUGACCCGCAGGUGAAGGCGAGCCCAGGAAGUCCUGCAAUGGGAGCACAUUGCCUGCCUGCAUGCUCUGCAGCGCUUCCCAGACAAGCAGGACCACAGACUGGUGGCGGACC